GGGAAACGCCGAGGUGGUUGCGAAGUCGUCGCUCCGUCCCCCAAGCUGAGAAUAACAGGCCUAGGCGACUCACAGUCACCGCGGCUCCCACUGUCGCCUCCGUUCCCGCCACGGAACAGCUAGCGCAGAGCAGGGCGGGAAGACGCACGUAUGGCGUCAUUUCCGGCUCCGUCGCGAGCAGCCCCAGGAGGGGGUAGUUUGCUCGCCGCGGGUGGCGGUUAUUUAGACCUGCGGUGAGACCUACGGACUUUCUGGGAGGAAUGGACUGUAACAGGCAUGACCAAGGAGGUGUAAAUAACGUUUCACCCUGUCCCCGUGCGUUGCUGCCCUCGGGACCUGAGCUGCGGCCGGGCGGGCGCGCUCAGCGACGUGGGCAGGGGCGCCGCGCCGGUCUCGGGAUCCGGCGGUCCACCUAGGUCACAAAGAGCCCCGCUCUCUUUAGGUACCGGCCUGCGGAACCCGACCUCGCUGUGAGCUCCAUUUGCAGUCAUCGGGUGUCUCACCGGCAUCUGAGCGGCGACAUAAUUCGGCUUGCAACCGGCUUCUCUCCAAAGGACCGGGAUUGGCAAGGGUGGGGCCUAUCUUCCGCCAGAAGAGGGCAGCCUGCGGAUCCCUGUCUUUUGCGUCCUGCUGUGUAGCAGAGCAGUACGCCUGUGCUUUAACAGCCGAGACAUCUGAAGAAGAUGCCUUUCCUUGCCCUCUUGAGGCCACAUUGCUUACACCUCCAGUAGUGUCUACCCGUUGUGGAGAGGCAGGAACAUGCAAUCAUGGACAUCCUUUAAUUCCGGAGCUCUGCUUAGAAAUCUGAUGCUAUUUAAGGUGUUCACACCAAGACUCCUCGAUGAGACCAUUAAGACUUCGGAGCCAGUGGUGACCCGGCCGGGCGCCACUGCACAGCCCCUCACUGGCGCCCUGGGCGGAGGUCCCUCUGCGGUCCGCCUUCCUGCGCCGCUUCGCACUCUGCGCUUAUCGCCUUUUUUUCCCCUUUCCCUCCCAACUCCCCUACUCCCACCCCAGGCCACUUCCCUAGCCUAGGAUCUAAGAGCUAGAGAUGUUUUCAAGCGGGUAACUUUGAAGUCCACACCCGCGCCUGGGGAGCUUUGGAGGGGAGCAGGGCACACUGGGACUAGGCGGUGGUAGCUCCAAGCUCUGGGGCAGACUCGGCUCUCUCCAUUGCACCGGCUCAGAAUCCCGGCAGGGAGCGCCCCCCGCCCCCCGCCCGCAUCCCUCUCUCCUCCCUGCAGAACCCUGGAGGGGAGCGGACGGAUGGUCUCCACAGGAUCCCCCAGGUUCGCGAGCGCCCUCGCCCGGUCCCGUCCUGCCAGGCUCUCGAGUUCCUAUCUUCAUGAAUUUUCCUGGUGCACCUUUCGCGUGCGUUAUUAUCCAUCUCUGCAUAGAACUCAUUGUAUUUAUUUUGGCACAUUGACUGGGAACAGCCCACAGUCUCUGAAGCUUAUGUCUUUCCCAAAAUACUGAGCAAAAUCAAUGAGGAAGUUAAAUCAUUCUAUUCAUUUUCAAAAACUGUACGCCAACUUAAAAUGUUGGUGUAACCAAGAUGAAGAUUUGUUAAGUCCUCUCUUUUUUUUAUCCGCUGGCAUAUGUAAGCAUGCGUUUCCUCUGUUUUGAUUUCUAAGGGCAUUCCAUUGGUGUUUAUGACGAUUUCCAUUUUGUCUAGGAUGAAGACAUUGGCAGCCAAAUCCUCCUGAAAAAUUAGUGAUAGCAGUAAUAGCUAGUGCUACUCUGAGGCUAUUUGUUACUGUUAUUACUACUAACAAUAGCACUAGCAGGUUCUAUUAAUAUUUACUAAGGCUCUAUGGCAUGCCAGACACUGUUCUUCAUGUGUUCAUCCUCCUACUAACUCUUCAAAAUAGAUAUAAUUGUCUUCACUUUAGAAAUAAAACACUGAUGCUUGUGACCCUUCAUGAGCAAAUCUUGAGUGCAUCUAGGGCCUGGUGAGGAAUAAUCACUGAAUGGCUGGCUGGCCCUCCUGCAGCUAUUUCCUUUCCUGCAAAAUGAGAAUUUUUUGACUGAUGGAUGUUUUCUAAGCUUUUGCUUGGUUGUAAGAAUUCUUCUGCUAGAAGCUGUGGGUUUACAGAGGUAAAAAAGAUAUUGUCUCUUCUGCCAAGUAGCCGGGGGUCCAAGGUAAAAGACAUAAGGGCACACAUAGAGUGGGAUGUGGCUUAUUUAUUUAUGUUAGGAGGAGAUGCUAAAAGGGAAAUCAUGGCAGGUAUGUGUGUGACCUUCCUCCACCUCCCACAAAACACUGUCCUCCACUCUGUCCUCACCUUCCUUCUCUGUUCUUCCCCUUGUCCUUAACCAUUUCCCUUCUGCAUCUCCUUUUUUUUUUCUCCUUCUGCACUAAAAUGGUGCUUUUAAAACUGUGGGUUAUAAGACAUUAGUAGGUCAUAAAAUCAAUCCAGGGGAUCUGGACCAGUAUUUUAAAAAAUGAAAUAAUAGAAUCAAACUAUUAAAAGGCAUCACUCAUACUCAGGAUAAUAUUGUUGUGUAAAACUCGUUGUAUAUGUAUGUUUGCAUGUGUGUGGCAAACGCAAGAAGACAAUGAUUGCUUUCUUGGGAGGAGCAGGGAGUAGGGCUAGCUAUGAACACCACCUGGACAUUUCUUCUCUGUCACAGCUACAGCGUUUCAGGGCUGGAAAGGUAACCUGGAGAUCACAGACCCCCAGGGCCCAGAUGGAGGCCCUGGGGCAGCAGGAGUUGGAGAUGGGGAGGCCGUGCCAGAGACAGGCACCUGCCACCAAGGCUGAGGAGGAAGAGUCACCUGGCACCCUGAGGUCAGGGGCAGAGGGACCGUCCUCCCACCCCACAGCGGCCCCAGUCCUUCCCUUUCUCUCCCCAAGGAUGCUCCAGCAGGGAGUUUAUCUCCACGGAAGCCUUUGAAGAGUGUGAAGGUGCAGAAGACACGGAAAAGGAGAACAGCGCUCUCAGCCUCGCCGGGCUCUUCCAGUCGGACGACAGCUCUGAAUCCCGUCUCUCCAAAUCGGUUUUCCUGGAGACGGGAGAAAGCACCCAGGGAGGAGACGCACGCGAUGCGGAGGAAACGGCCAGCGCCGAGGAGCGCGUCGGGGUGCGCACUGGCGAGCUCGCUCCCGCGGGGGAGACGACCCGACCCGGCGCAGAGACGGCGCAGGCGCGGGCGGGAGGCCCGAGGACGCCCUCCCCGCAGAACUGAGCCUCCCGCGGGCAGCCGUCGCUCCUGCGCUCGGCCCGGCGCCCGCGCCGUCUGCGUUGCAGGGAGAAGCUGCAGAGGGGCCGAGGGCCCGGCCGCCUGAAGCAGAGGGCAGCCGAGGGGCCUCGGCGGCUACGCACAUGCCGCCCUGGGAGGGGACGCCCACGGCCGCCUGCGGGGAGCCGGAGCAGAGCUCGGGGAGCCCGCUCCUCCCCGGCCGCCGCGGGAACCUCGGCGCUCCCUAACGCGCCUGCGCCAGACGCCCGCGGGGUCCAAUCAAUACCCGGCGCGCCUGGCUUUGGAGUUACUUAGUUUUAAAGUAGGUGUUGGAAUUGUUUAGAGUGGUUUGAUCUUAAGUUUUCACUCUACAUGGGAUCUGGCGGAGUCUUCAAGUCCCCUGAUUUGUUUCUGGAAUGGAGUGGGCCAACAAACACCUGAAAGACUGAUGAUGAUGCCACACAAAGAUCAAGAAGAUAUGAAAAGAUUUAUUACUCACAGAGUGAGGCUUUCUGGGGAGAGCAGGGGCAGGCACCCAAGCUGGUCAGAAAUGGCUUGGAGAGGGAUGGAGGAGAGUGGAGACCAGCCAGCCGUGAAGUGCCAGUGACUUCAGCUGCAAAGCAGGCAGAGAAGAGCAGAGGAGCCUGGAGUAGGGAUUGUUUGUGGAAAUUUGCCAGAUGAGGAAAGAAUACAAGUUCCCCACCACUGGCUUUUAAUGUUUUACAGAACUGAUGCAGGUUUCUUUUGAAUUUAGAGAAAAUAUAGAUCAAAACAAAAAGCUGAAAGAAAUAGGAACCACAAAGAGUAUUCUUAAGUAGCUCCUUUUGCAUAGAUGGUCAUGAGUCUUAAGACCAGUUUGAAAUGUUUUAAGCUGUCUUAGUACCCUUUGGCUAAAAGUGCCCAACUAAUGGGAAGUACUGUGCAUGCUUAACCUGUGUUGUAUAUAAAUAUAUAAUGAUGGACAGAGAGAGAGAGCUCUGUAUCACUUGCCAGAAAGAAAUUUAAGGCUCUACACACAGGCCAUGCAGAUCUUACUCUCCAUAGAACUCCUGCCAUCCCCCAGGAGUAAGUGCUUAGAGGAUUUAACCUUGACUAGGAAUGAGAGCCACGUGUAAGUAACCUCUAAUAAACUCAUCUAACUUGCCAAACUGGAUUGGUAUGAGUAGUUUCUUUGGUUUCUUGGCAUCAUCUCAGUUUGGAGGGCAGAUUUUCUAUACCAUCCUGAGAUUUUCCCAAAUAGCAGA